rnacentral:misc_RNA from 1 species
AACGCACAUUGCGCCCUUUGGUAUUCCUUAGGGCAUGCCUGUUCGAGCGUCAUUUAAACCUUCAAGCUCAGCUUGGUGAUGGGUGACUGUCCCCCCCUUUCGCGGGGGGACUCGCCUCAAAAACAUUGGCGGCCGGUACAUUGGCUUCGAGCGCAGCAGAAACGCGGUCUCGAGCCCGGUGGAUCGUCUCCCAUAAGCUCCUUCUUUAUUUUGACCUCGGAUCAGGUAGGGAUACCCGCUGAACUUAA